AGCGAACGCUGGCGGCAGGCCUAACACAUGCAAGUCGAACGAAGCCUUCGGGCUUAGUGGCGGACGGGUGAGUAACACGUGGGAACGUACCUUUUGGUUCGGAAUAACGCAGAGAAAUUUGCGCUAAUACCGAAUGAGCCCUUCGGGGGAAAGAUUUAUCGCCGAAAGAUCGGCCCGCGUUGGAUUAGGUAGUUGGUGUGGUAAAGGCGCACCAAGCCUACGAUCCAUAGCUGGUCUGAGAGGAUGAUCAGCCACACUGGGACUGAGACACGGCCCAGACUCCUGCGGGAGGCAGCAGUGGGGAAUCUUGCGCAAUGGGCGAAAGCCUGACGCAGCCAUGCCGCGUGAAUGAUGAAGGACUUAGGAUUGUAAAAUUCUUUUACCAGGGACGAUAAUGACGGUACCUGGAGAAAAAGCCCCGGCUAACUUCGUGCCAGCCGCCGCCGUAACAC
rnacentral:rRNA from 1 species